CUAGGUACGUGACCACAGGCGCCUGAGCGUGUACACGUGUGCCCGAGCUGUGGUCACAGUCCUAUCGGUCGCCCAAAUCUGCGUGGCACAAAGCAAAGGUCAUCGUGCCACUGUUGUGAUGCACUAAAAACCACCGCAGAGACAUCAGGAUGUAACACAGAAUUUUCUCGUCAAGGGACAAGAAACCUUCAGAGGGGUGGGGGCUGGGAGGAGGAAAGCGGGCGUGUGGAUGGGGGGAUGGAGGGAAAUGGCAGAAAAUGGGGAGGAAAAUGAAGAAUACAAAGCUCCACUUCGCUAAUCCAAGAUAGACAAUCCAUCCCUUCCCCCUCUCUAUGCCCUCCCUCCCCCCGAAAUGUUGGUGCAGAUGGAUUUCUGUAUCUUGGUUUUGCAGCAGUGGGUCUAAUGACUCCUAUACCAAACCCCCUCGCUAUCAUAACCCCUCCCACUAUUUUUUUUUUUUUUUUUAGACUGGGCUGAAGAAUAAUGUGUUUUUAGAGAUAAUGGGUUUUAUAAAAAGAAAGAAAAAGGGACGCAACGCAGACAUUAUGGAAAAAAAAUUGGAAGAAAAAAAAAGAAAAAAGUGGGUAUUCCACAUACAUCUUGCACGAAGAAAGCAUUGAACCAACCUCUAAGGUCACUUACUGCCUGAAAACCCUCAGCAGCAGCUCACGGUGGAAGUUUUCAGGCAAGACGGCUACUAAAUCAUUAAUACAAACAAAUGGAAGGCGGGGAGGAAAGGCGCUACUGUAAUAGAUCCGAAGUCUUGGAGGAGGAAAAAAAUAUUAAAGCAAAAAAAAAUAAAACUUUCAUCUUCAGCCUCUCUUCGUUCCUCAUUAAUAAUUUUUCGGAAAAGAAAACCUUAAGCUUCAGUCAAACAAGAGGCUCUCUCUAAGCGUCUCGCUGCCGUAAUUCAGCGUAGUGCCUUCUUCUUUUUCACGAGGCCCCCCCGUUUUUCACUCCGAAGAGCCCCGCCGCAGGAAGAGCGGAUACCCAAAAAGUCGGGCAGAGCAGCCGGGGCCGGAACGUCCCGGGGCCGGGGUAGCCAGGCAGCGCCCAGCCCCGCCGGGGCGGCCGGGAAGGAAAAAGCCGCUCCCCGGCACUUCUCUGACGGGGGACAGCGGGAACCCGUCCGUGGAGCUACCGGCCGGGCAGCGCCCGCUGUGCCGAGCCAAGCCGAG
ensembl:lncRNA